UACGUAGGGACCAAGCGUUGUUCGGAUUUACUGGGCGUAAAGGGCGCGUAGGCGGCCUAGCAAGUCACUUGUGAAAUCUCCGGGCUUAACUCGGAACUGCCAAGUGAAACUGCUGGGCUAGAGUGCAGAAGGGGCAAUCGGAAUUCUUGGUGUAGCGGUGAAAUGCGUAGAUAUCGAGAGGAACACCUGCGGCGAAGGCGGGUUGCUGGGCCGACACUGACGCUGAUGCGCGAAAGCCAGGGGAGCGAACGGG
rnacentral:rRNA from 1 species